UCAGAACAGUCUUCAGUGGGAAGACAUAGAAUCCAAGGCCAUAGGGCUGAAUAGAAAAGAAGCUGCAUCUUUAGAGCAAGUACAUGAAGAUCAAAAGCUUGCUUGCAGUGCAAAUAUCUCUGAGCCAAAUUAUACAUGACAGCACCCAUCGAUGAAGCGCUGUCCCAUGCUCCUCGCAGCUCCUAUUGGGCCAAACGUGCUGACGCCAUCCGUAUCGCCUCUCCGGAAAUGCAGUCCAGUUGCCAAGUCGCCUCUUCCCCACGUUCCUUUUGCCGCCGUUUCACUGUCAGCUCAUU